AUCCAGCUGACGAGUUCCAAAUAGGACUAAACGCACAUCCUGGAU
rfam:Schistosoma curassoni strain Dakar, Senegal genome assembly, scaffold: SCTD_scaffold0000018